GUCGGAGUGGCGGAAUUGGCAUACGCGCCAGCCUUAGGAGCUGGUGGGGCAACCCUUGAGAGUUCAAAUCUCUCCUCCGACA
rnacentral:tRNA from 1 species